GAUAACAGUGACGAAUCCUUACAUAGUUACAGAUCUGUGAUGAUUGUUGCAAGAAGAUCGCAUCAUUCAAAGCACAUCUAAGCUGAGCUGUC
rfam:Zea mays cultivar B73 chromosome 10, whole genome shotgun sequence.